rnacentral:rRNA from 1 species
CCUACGGGAGGCAGCAGUGGGGAAUUUUGGACAGUGGGCGCAAGCCUGAUCCAGCCAUGCCGCGUGAGUGAAGAAGGCCUUCGGGUUGUAAAGCUCUUUCGGCCGGGAAGAAAUCGCAUUGGUUAAUACCUGGUGUGGAUGACGGUACCGGAAUAAGAAGCACCGGCUAACUACGUGCCAGCAGCCGCGGUAAUACGUAGGGUGCGAGCGUUAAUCGGAAUUACUGGGCGUAAAGCGUGCGCAGGCGGUUUUGUAAGACAGGCGUGAAAUCCCCGGGCUCAACCUGGGAACUGCGCUUGUGACUGCAAGGCUAGAGUACGGCAGAGGGGGGUGGAAUUCCACGUGUAGCAGUGAAAUGCGUAGAGAUGUGGAGGAACACCAAUGGCGAAGGCAGCCCCCUGGGUCGAUACUGACGCUCAUGCACGAAAGCGUGGGUAGCAAACAGGAUUAGAUACCCUGGUAGUCCACGCCCUAAACGAUGUCAACUAGGUGUUGGGAGGGUAAAACCUUUUAGUACCGGAGCUAACGCGUGAAGUUGACCGCCUGGGGAGUACGGCCGCAAGGUUAAAACUCAAAGGAAUUGACGGGGACCCGCACAAGCGGUGGAUGAUGUGGAUUAAUUCGAUGCAACGCGAAAAACCUUACCUACCCUUGACAUGUCAGGAAGUCUUGAGAGAUUGAGAUGUGCCCGAAAGGGAACCUGAACACAGGUGCUGCAUGGCUGUCGUCAGCUCGUGUCGUGAGAUGUUGGGUUAAGUCCCGCAACGAGCGCAACCCUUGUCGUUAAUUGCCAUCAUUUAGUUGGGCACUUUAGCGAGACUGCCGGUGACAAACCGGAGGAAGGUGGGGAUGACGUCAAGUCCUCAUGGCCCUUAUGGGUAGGGCUUCACACGUCAUACAAUGGUCGGUACAAAGGGUCGCCAACCCGCGAGGGGGAGCCAAUCCCAGAAAGCCGAUCGUAGUCCGGAUUGCAGGCUGCAACUCGCCUGCAUGAAGUCGGAAUCGCUAGUAAUCGUGGAUCAGCAUGUCACGGUGAAUACGUUCCCGGGCCUUGUACACA